rnacentral:rRNA from 1 species
CCUACGGGUGGCAGCAGUGGGGAAUAUUGCGCAAUGGGCGAAAGCCUGACGCAGCGACGCCGCGUGAGGGAUGAAGGUCUUCGGAUCGUAAACCUCUGUCAGCAGGGAAGAACGGUCACUCAGCUAAUCAGCAGUGCAUUGACGGUACCUGCAAAGGAAGCACCGGCUAACUCCGUGCCAGCAGCCGCGGUAAUACGGAGGGUGCUAGCGUGAAUCGGAAUUACUGGGCGUAAGGCGCUCGUAGGCGGUAUGUCAAGUCAAGGGUGAAAUCCCCGCGCGCAACGUGGGAACUGCCUUUGAAACUGGCAAACUGGAGUGUGGGAGAGGAGAGUGGAAUUCCAGGUGUAGGAGUGAAAUGCGUAGAUAUCAGGAGGAACACCAGUGGCGAAGGCGACUAGCUGGAACGCAACUGACGCUGAGGAGCGAAAGCGUGGGUAGCAAACAGGAUUAGAUACCCGUGUAGUC